AACGAACGCUGGCGGCAUGCCUAACACAUGCAAGUCGAACGAGACCUUCGGGUCUAGUGGCGCACGGGUGCGUAACGCGUGGGAACCUGCCCUUAGGUUCGGAAUAACUCCCCGAAAGGGGUGCUAAUACCGGAUAAUGUCUUCGGACCAAAGAUUUAUCGCCUGUGGAUGGGCCCGCGUUGGGUUAGCUAGUUGGUGGGGUAAAGGCCUACCAAGGCGACGAUCGAUAGCUGGUCUGAGAGGAUGAUGGGCCACACUGGGACUGAGAUACGGCCCAGACUCCUACGGGAGGCAGCAGUGGGGAAUAGUGGACAAUGGGCGGAAGCCUGAUGCAGCAACGCCGCGUGCGGGAUGACGGCCUUCGGGUUGUAAACCGCUUUCGCCUGUGACGAAGCGUGAGUGACGGUAAUGGGUAAAGAAGCACCGGCUAACUACGUG
rnacentral:rRNA from 1 species